GGUGGUGCAUGGUUGUCGUCAGCUCGUGUCGUGAGAUGUUGGGUUAAGUCCCGCAACGAGCGCAACCCUCGACCUUAGUUGCCAGCAUUCAGUUGGGCACUCUAAGGUGACUGCCGGCUAAAAGUCGGAGGAAGGUGGGGAUGACGUCAAAUCAUCAUGCCCCUUAUGACCUGGGCUACACACGUGCUACGAUGGGCGGUACAAAGGGUCGCGAACCCGCGAGGGGGAGCCAAUCCCAAAAAGCCGCUCUCAGUUCGGAUUGCAGGCUGCAACUCGCCUGCAUGAAGCCGGAAUCGCUAGUAAUCGCGGAUCAGCAUGCCGCGGUGAAUACGUUCCCGGGCCUU
rnacentral:rRNA from 1 species